rnacentral:rRNA from 1 species
GUGAACGCUGGCGGCGUGCUUAAGACAUGCAAGUCGAACGGGCUCUUCGGAGCCAGUGGCGCACGGGUGAGUAACGCGUAACUGACCUACCCCAAAGUCGCGGAUAACGAUUCGAAAGAAUCGCUAAUACGUGAUGUGCUGUCAGAUCCUGUUCUGCCAGUAAAGAUUUAUUGCUUUGGGAUGGGGUUGCGUUCCAUCAGCUAGUUGGUGGGGUAAAGGCCCACUAAGGCGACGACGGAUCGCCGGCCUGAGAGGGUGGCCGGCCACAGGGGCACUGAGACACGGGUCCCACUCCUACGGGAGGCAGCAGUUAGGAAUCUUCCACAAUGGGCGAAAGCCUGAUGGAGCGACGCCGCGUGAGGGAUGAAGGUCCUCGGAUCGUAAACCUCUGAAUCAGGGACGAAAGACGCGAAAGCGGGAUGACGGUACCUGAGUAAUAGCACCGGCUAACUCCGUG